rnacentral:rRNA from 1 species
UACAGAGGUCUCAAGCGUUGUUCGGAUUCAUUGGGCGUAAAGGGUGCGUAGGUGGCGCCGUAAGUGGGGUGUGAAAUCUCGGGGCUUAACUCCGAAACUGCAUUCGAUACUGCCGUGCUUGAGGACUGGAGAGGAGACUGGAAUUUACGGUGUAGCGGUGAAAUGCGUAGAUAUCGUAAGGAAGACCAGUGGCGAAGGCGGGUCUCUGGACAGUGCCUGACGCUGAGGCACGAAGGCCAGGGGAGCAAACGGG